CACGUAGGGGGCGAGCGUUGUCCGGAUUUAUUGGGCGUAAAGAGCUCGUAGGCGGCUCGGUAAGUCGGGUGUGAAAUUUCGAGGCUUAACCUCGAAACGCCACCCGAUACUGCUGUGGCUAGAGUCCGGUAGGGGAGCGUGGAAUUCCUGAUGUAGCGGUGAAAUGCGCAGAUAUCAGGAAGAACACCAGCGGCGAAGGCGGCACUCUGGGCCGGAACUGACGCUGAGGAGCGAAAGCGUGGGGAGCGAACAGG
rnacentral:rRNA from 1 species